AAUGAACGCUAGCGGCAGGCUUAAUACAUGCAAGUCGAGGGACAGCACAGGUAGCAAUACUGGGUGGUAACCGGCAAACGGGUGCGGAACACGUACACAACCUUCCUUUAAGUGGGGGAUAGCCCAGAGAAAUUUGGAUUAAUACCCCGUAAUAUAGUUGAAUGGCAUCAUUGGAUUAUUAUAGCUACGGCGCUUAAUGAUGGGUGUGCGGCUGAUUAGAUAGUUGGCGGGGUAACGGCCCACCAAGUCUACGACCAGUAGCUGAUGUGAGGGCAAGAUCAGGCACACGGGAACGGAGAAACGGGCACGAAGCCUACGGGAGGCAGCAGUAAGGAAGAUUGGUCAAUGGAAGGAAGUCUGAACCAGCCAUGACGCGUGAAGGAUUAAGGUCCUCUGGAUUGUAAACUGCUUUUAUUUGGGACGAAAAAGGGCCUUGCUAGGUCAACUGACGGUACCAGAUGAAUAAGCACCGGCUAACUCCGUGCCAGCCGCCGCGGUAAGAC
rnacentral:rRNA from 1 species